UCAGAAACUGAGAGCAGAGAGGGGCUUUCAGUCUGGGGUUCAAGCAGCCCUAAAGUUCAGGGGGGUUGAAGCCUGUUUUGGGGUUCAGGGUUGGUUCCAAAGGCCUGAUGGCUGAAAAUCAGGUAUUGCAUCCUACAAGUGCCCCAAACUCCAAGGCUAUGAAAUCUCAAGGAACUGCUUAGCUUUUACCUCAGCGUUUCUAAAGUCCUAGGACCAGAGUCUCAGCUACACUGAAGUCCAUGGAGAUUAGUCACCAUGACGAUUGUCGCUGUGUUCUGCUCCCAAAUCAUUCUCCAGAAAUCAUUUACUGUUUCUUCUUUUGGUCCUAAAAAGACAAAAACCAAACACAGACACACAAAAAGAGAAAGGAACACCACAAUGAAAGAGCAGCCUUCCUCCAAGACAAAGCUGGGUGCACCUCAGCCUCCCUCUCUCUGGAGCACUGCGCCUUGAGUUCACAUCAGCAAACAUACAAGGAUUCCCUUCACUGUGCGUUUUGAGACCACACAUCAUCGCUCUCUCAACUCCGCUGACCCUGGCAACUUGGUAGCAUCCAUACAAGAGGAACCUCGUAUUAGAGCUGCAGAGUGACCUGUUAAUCCUAGCUGUCAGAGUUGAAGGAAAUCUUUCCCCAUUAUCAGCAAUCACAAUGCAGUUUCAAUUGGAUAUGGUGUUCUUCAUUUGCUUCUUGUCCAGCUGUAAGCUGUUAAAAAGCAGUUGCUGUGUUGCACCCCAGAGAUAGCUUCAGUCCCAUGGUGGGUGACUUGAUCCAUUAUUUAUAAUGCAGCAACUUUCAUCUUGAAGGAUCCUACAGCAUUUUACAAACUCUCUCUACCCUAAUCUAAUCUCUCCUAAGAUUGCAAAAUAAAUUGGGAAUCCUUUGGGAUGACAAGUGGUAUUACAAACAUCAGACAUUAUUCCACCCAUAAAUGGUGCUUGGCUUUAUAUGUGGAAUGGGUCAGCACCUGGAAGUGCUGUGUUACAGCAGCCUGUGGCUGGGUGCGCUUCUAGUGGA